AAAAGGGAGAAGGCAGAGAAACAAAUGCUGAUGAGGAGGAACAAAGGGGGAACCCCCCCUCACAGGUAUCAAAGAUCAUGCCUGCUCAUGAAACAGACCAACUCUUGUAGACCACAUAACUCUAGGAAGGGAAAGAUAGCAAGAACACAAUCACAUGCCUGCAUAGAUACAACAAAUACGUAAUUGUGCAAAUACUGCUAUAUUUCCAGCAAUUCCAAUCAAUGCAAUGCAAUGCAAUCAAUUACAUUAGCAUUUAUCUCUCCCCAGAGAAUCUCCAAGACUUUAAAAGGGAAUAUUGUACAACUGAAUUCAGAUCCCACAUACCUUCUCCCCAAUCCACCGAUGCACUAGGCAAAGUACUUUCACUCCAAUUGUAUUUAUACUGUGAAACUAAAUACCACAGGGAUAUUUUCCACAGUCUUUCAUUGAUACUUAAUACAAGAAAACACCAAUUGCACAUGAAGAAGGACUGUUUAUUACUCUUUACAAAACUCGUAAAAUGCUUUCUUUUUUAGGGUUAAUCGCGAAGGCAUGGGAAUUAAACAUAUUCCUCUUCACAGCCACAUAGCAAAUUGAAUUCACAAUGUGUUCUCUAGUCUUCUCUUGUUGGUCUUUAUACAAUAAAAAUAAGAGAAGAGGAAAGUUCUUGUUUUCUGUUCUUUAUCUAUAUUGCACCGUUCAAUUUUACUUGGGGACAGAAUAAGAAAUGCACCUUUUAAAAGGAGUGCAUAUUGGCUUCUCAAUGGAUAUUUGACUGGGGUCUAUUCCACCUAAGAUUCUAUUUCUAUAACUACCCCAAAUUUCUUGGGCCCAUCCCAUCUAAGUGGCAUCCCUUAUGUCAUCCCGCCCUCAAAUCAAAUCCCAGCUCUGCCCACAUACAUGAUAUCAUACACCACUGCUCUACCUACAUUAUAUACAUAGUAUAAAAUAUUAAGCUCUUUUAACUCAAGAGCGUUGACAACACACAGCUGAACUUGACUGAUGUUAGGAUCAGAUCUUAAAGGCAUUUGAAUAGGAGACCUUAAGAGACAGGAUUGUAAACCAGGUUGGAAAUUGAAUAAAUGCCUGAGAAGAAAAUAAUGCCAAACUUUUCCCACAAAGUUGCCAAGAAAAAGCAUGCUCAAAGGAGACUUUGCCUUUUAGUAAAUUCUAAAGUUAGUACAAUUUCAGAAAUACACUUCCUAUGGAUAUGAAUGCAGACUUUGCAAUUUGUGGAUGAUACCUGAUGAAGUAAUUUAAGCUGGUAUGUGUGCUUUUAAGCAUAACCAAUCAAAUGACAAUACCAAGAAAGCAACUCUGCUUCACUCAUAAUAUAUAGAUAGCAUGUUAUCUUGGCAAAUAAUCCAGGUCCUGAUGUGAGUAUUGCAUAUGAAAUCAAAAUUAUAUCCAUACAAUAGCUUCACUGGGAGUUAAUAUACAUCAGCCACUCAGUUGUUUCAUACUUUGUAUAGAAGGUAAUGUAAACAUAAACACAAAACUGCCCAAAUAUAAAAUGUUUUAUUAACAAACAGUAAAAUUCAUAUAUACCUGCACUAAAACUUUGAACGAACCAUUUAUAACAUUCUUGAUUCCUCACAAGCAUAAACCUAUAGUUUUGCAGAAGUGCUGAUCCAAUUAUUUCAGCCUGGAGCUGUUUAGAUGUGCUGGACAUGCUGGCUGGGAUAUGGGAAUUACUGUCCAAAGUUUUUGAGGUCGGCAGUGUAAAUACCUCAACGUUUACUUUUAGUUUUCUUCGAACGUGACUUACAAAUCUUUAUGAGAAAAGGGAAUAGCUUUUGGAACAUAUAUUAAAGAACCAGCAAAGAAGAUUGUCUGUCAUAUUAGAAAUAUUUUAGACAGAAUAUGCAAGAUGGUGUUAAAAGCUCCUACCAAAAGUGCAGCUUGAACCAUCCGUAGGAAAAAGCAUUCUCUCCUAUGGUAUCUGUUGGCAACAGCUGCAAGGCUACUCUACAAACACCACCUGACCUAGCAAGCAACUGGCUUUCCAUCAGUCCAACGAACCUUGUUGACCUGAUGCUUGGAUUUAAAGGGCCGACGGCUCCACACUAUUGUGAGUCCUUGACAUACAAUGGCAAAUAGGACCAGACUUUCUGUUGCAAAGCGAAGCAG